rnacentral:lncRNA from 1 species
ACGAAAUUAACUGCACCAAAAGCACCAACAUCGGACCGCCCACAAGAAAGUCUCAACUUCAACCAGUCUUUCGGUUGCCUGAAUGAUAUUGAUCAUGAUAUCUACUCGACUUUUGAUCUGUUUGAGGAAAAGGUGCCCAUCAAACAACCUAUGAGUCAGAACUCCACCGAGAUAGAACCAGCUCCACCUACCGACGGACCUGGGAUGAUGUAUUCUGAUCAGGGAAGCAAUUCCUUUGGCUAUUCUGAAUUUGGUUGGGAACAUGAGGUUAAAACUCCAGAGAUCACAACAAGUCUUGAUCCAACCAUAACUGAAGUUCAAAAUUUUACAUGUCUGGAAAAUGGUGGUCCUCUGAAGAAAUUGAAGAACAAUGCCGGAGAGACGGUGCCGGCUGAGGAAAAUGAUGGUGUCAAAUUCUCUGAAGAUUUGUCUACUUUUGAGUCACUCAUGAAGUUUCUGCAGACACCUUAUCUGGAUGGUGGUUCAGAUGAUUCAAUCGAUAGCUUCCUCAAUUAUGACAUGACUCAGGAUGAAAGUGGAGUGGACCUGUGGAGCUUUGAUGACCUGCCACCGGUAGCUAGCAGCGUUUACUGAUGGACCUUAAAUUAAGGCAAAUGGUCUUCUGUAAAUACGGUAUAUCAACAAGCAUCCCUCUUAGGAAUUCAUCUAUUUAGCAUGCAAAUUCUUUUCUUUGUGUACCAUUUAAAGGAAGUGUGUUGUUGUUUUCCUCUUUGUUCCAGGAACCAGUGUCGAUGGAUGUUAUGCUGAACCAGGGAUUUCCUUUAUCAUGAUUUAGUAAACCUUCUGAGUUAUGCUACUAUGUUUAGG